UGGGGAAUUUUCCGCAAUGGGCGAAAGCCUGACGGAGCAAUACCGCGUGAGGGAUGACGGCCUGUGGGUUGUAAACCUCUUUUAUCAAGGAAGAAUUUUGACGGUACUUGAAGAAUAAGCAUCGGCUAACUCCGUGCCAGCAGCCGCGGUAAUACGGAGGAUGCAAGCGUUAUCCGGAUUUAUUGGGCGUAAAGCGUCUGUAGGUUGCUUAGUAAGUCUGUUGUUAAAGCCUAAGGCUUAACCUUAGAUCUGCAGUGGAAACUGCUAAGCUUGAGUAUGAUAGGGGUAGAGGGAAUUCCUAGUGUAGCGGUGAAAUGCGUAGAUAUUAGGAAGAACACCAGAAGCGAAGG
rnacentral:rRNA from 1 species